rnacentral:sRNA from 1 species
CUUCAGUGUAGAAGGGCUGUCAUCGUAACGUAUGUGAGUCCAGCCGGGGUCCCUCUGUUAAUAAUCUUUCUAUCAGUGAAAAGCAGCAGCCCAAGUGUCUCGUGUCCCUGAUGCAGGCCACAAGUAUGUAUUCAUAUAUAUAGUACAUGAUGGGGAAAGGAAAUUUAUCUGUUCGGCAGGUCGUAUUUCCACCGCCUGGCUGAUACUUCAGUUUCAGAGGGUGGAACACAUUUUUGUAGUAAUUAAAAAGUGGGAGUGCAGUUUGUGUGACCCUUUGAAUGGAAGUACUUGUACUUCACACCGUGUAAAAUACCGGGGUGCCUUAUCCMCCAKGAAUCACUAGCUAAGGAAUGUGUGUAUGGACUUCCUUCACUGCACACGAAAAUGCUGGAAUGGAUAUGCUCUCAGAGGCUGUACUGCCUGGGCAGGUAUCACUUUUCCUCCUUACAGCUGGUAACCAGCAUGUCCUAAUUUACACUGCUACAGUUAAAGUUACAGCAUCCUGGGAAAGAAGGAAAAAUGCAAGCCCUCCCCCCCCCCCAUCUUUUGAAGUUAAUUUUUAUUCAAGUCUGUGUGCUUGAUGGAAUAUGUAUCAAAGACUUAUGAAAGGAUUUUAAAAAGAAACACACACCUAUCUCUGGGUUUGGAAAAUUAUAUUUAAUCAUCGCUAAAAACUUCGGAACCACUUUUAAGGUGUUCAGGGUUUCUUUUGAUCAUGAUUUAAUGGAGCGUAGCCAGAAGCCAUCAAUGCAAUUCUAAUGAUCUUCCCAAAUUAACGUUUGGGCUUCAUCUGGAGUUUGCUUUUAGCCAGCAUUAUUAGUGUUUCAAGCCUAAAUUAUGGCUGCACUUGGGCCUUCAGGACCUCACCAGUGAAAAGAAGGGCUUUGCACAUUGUGCAAAAAAAAAAAAAAAAAAAAAAAACCCACAAAAAAACAAAAAAAACCGGGAUUCACAAAUGAAUACAGAAUGUACAAUAGGGAGAGAGCCAGGCCAUUGUUUGUGUGGAAUGUUGACAAUGGGAGCCGAGGGGCAGUUUCGCCUUCAUUCUUCUAACUGCUCGAGAACACAGAAACUUCAGGAGCUUCGGACAGGAUGGGAACCAGUCAACAAUCAUCGGUCUYUGCCAGGCAUGGAAAUCGGGGCUGCCGGCCUGCUCCCUCGCCAGAGUGUUUCUUAGAAGGCGGUCUUUUCUGGACUGCUCGGGAACUCGGUGUGCUUUUUCUCCGCUGUGAGCUGCUUUUUUGAAGAAAGCUCCUACAAGCAGAUAGUAGGGUUCUUCAAAGAAAGUGUUAAAAAAACCAAAAAAACAACCCAGCAAACGCUUCUUCCCUUGAAAUGCAGUCUUAGGAAAUCAUAUUCAAAGCUUGCCAGAAAUCGAGGCAUCCGAAGUCACAGGAAGCAGUUGUGUUUAUUUUUAUUGCUCUCCUCACAUUAAAGUAGUUUUUAAUCUGUGUGUGGUGUUAGGGAAAGUGCAGCUAAAAUGAGUAUUUGUGGGGUUUUUGUAUUUUGUUGCACAGCUGCUGCCAUUUCUGAAAAAGCUCCCGGGUACCGCAUCUUGCACCUCCAUUCCCAAAGUUCUGCCUCCACGUGGGGGCUGAGGGUCCAGAGUGGCGCCCACUCUGAUGCUAAGGUGGCCGUCAGGCUCGAGAACUUUUUCACCCUUCCU